CGUCGAGCGGCGGACGGGUGAGUAAUGCCUAGGAAAUUGCCUUGAUGUGGGGGAUAACCAUUGGAAACGAUGGCUAAUACCGCAUAAUGCCUACGGGCCAAAGAGGGGGACCUUCGGGCCUCUCGCGUCAAGAUAUGCCUAGGUGGGAUUAGCUAGUUGGUGAGGUAAUGGCUCACCAAGGCGACGAUCCCUAGCUGGUCUGAGAGGAUGAUCAGCCACACUGGAACUGAGACACGGUCCAGACUCCUACGGGAGGCAGCAGUGGGGAAUAUUGCACAAUGGGCGAAAGCCUGAUGCAGCCAUGCCGCGUGUAUGAAGAAGGCCUUCGGGUUGUAAAGUACUUUCAGUUGUGAGGAAGGGGGUGUCGUUAAUAGCGGCAUCUCUUGACGUUAGCAACAGAAGAAGCACCGGCUAACUCCGUGCCAGCAGCCGCGGUAAUACGGAGGGUGCGAGCGUUAAUCGGAAUUACUGGGCGUAAAGCGCAUGCAGGUGGUUCAUUAA
rnacentral:rRNA from 1 species